rnacentral:rRNA from 1 species
UACGUAGGGAGCAAGCGUUGUCCGGAAUCAUUGGGCGUAAAGCGCGCGUAGGCGGCCCCGUAAGUCCGCUGUGAAAGUCAAAGGCUCAACCUUUGAAAGCCGGUGGAUACUGUGGGGCUAGAGUCCGGAAGAGGCGAGUGGAAUUCCUGGUGUAGCGGUGGAAUGCGCAGAUAUCAGGAGGAACACCAAUAGCGAAGGCAGCUCGCUGGGACGGUACUGACGCUGAGGCGCGAAAGCGUGGGGAGCGAACAGG